rnacentral:tRNA from 1 species
GGCAAGAUGGCCGAGCGGUCUAAGGCGCCACGUUAAGGAGUUACACCCUUAAUUCAAUUCCGUGGUCCGAAAGGGCGUGAGUUCGAAUCUCACUCUUGUGG